UUGAACCAUACCUGCACAGUACACAGUA
rnacentral:piRNA from 1 species